GGGAGGAGGGAGGAGGGUUCAGGAUGGAUUUUCUUUUAAAAAAUUAAAAGAAAAAAAAAAGAAAAAAAAAAGAACUCAGAAUAAAUAUCCAUCCUGAUUUUUUGUUGAUUAAAAAAAAUAAUAAUAAAUAAAAACAUAGUGAAAUUUACCCACAGAGUGGUUAAAAGUAUUAACAAAGUGAGAGAAAAUAUAUAUAAAACAUCAAGCAGAUGGCGGGCACAGAGUAUGAGCCACACACAGUCAGUCCCCUCCCUGUUCCUUAGCCUGGCCGAAGUAUCUGGGCCCCGUCUCACUGAAGAGUAGGGUCUCAAGAGGCUGGGAAGAAGUGGGUGGCUCCUUAGGGGUGGGCAUCAAAUGUCUUUUCUGCUGCUUUUUUUUUUUAACCAGAAUUUUUUAAUUUUUAAAAGAUUUUGGCCCACUGUGCAGCUUGUGGGGUCUGUUUCCCAACCAGAGACUGGACCUGGGCCACAGCAGUGAAAGCACUGAAUCCUAACCACUAGACCAGGAAACUCUCUCUUCUCUGCUGAUUAGAUUCCUCAAUCAAAGUGCUGAAUGAAUGAGUGAGUGAGUGAAUGAAUUCUCAGGGAAGAAAAGAAGGGUCAUAGUGAAUGCAAUGGUGAAGGACACAAAAGCGUGGAAAUAGAAAUCAGACCAAAGGAGUUUUCUACUCACCUGGCCUCCCAGUGAUUUCACUGAUCCUCAGUUAAUCCCCCUUCAGUUCAGUUCAGUUCAGUCGCUCAGUCGUGUCCAACUCUUAGUGACCCCAUGAAUCUCAGCACGCCAGGCCUCCCUGUCCAUCACCAACUCCCGGAGUUCACUCAAACUCACAUCCAUUGAGUCAGUGAUGCCAUCCAGCCAUCUCAUGCUCUGUUGUCCCCUUCUCCUCCUGCCCCCAAUCCUUCCCAGCAUCCCCUUAAAGAGGGGAAAACAGACCACCUCCCAGACCUCCUUAGUCGGCAUACGGAAGGCACUCAAGCCGUUAGCUGUGCCUCCUUCCUUAGAAAGAUCUAGAAAAGAGAAGAGAGGUGCCAGCAGGGUCCAGGGCUGUGGAGAUGGAGACCACAAAGGACAGCUGCCUCAAGCCUGCUUUUUCACUCCAGGGCAUUUUGGAGGUGUGCAGGUCUGAGAAAGCACUAGAAGAGGAUUUUUUUUUUUAAUAAAUGGCAACUGCAAGAUCACAGGAU
ensembl:lncRNA